CGCCCGCCGCAGCCGCCGGAGCCGGGCGAGGAGCGAGCCCGGCCGCCCGGAGCCGCCGGGAAGAGGCUCGGGCCGCGGCAGUCCCGCGGGGAGGCAGCGAGGGGACCCUCGCCGAAAGCGCGAACAACACCCCCCCACACACUCCGCCGCGCCGCCUCUGCCCGCCCCCAGCGAAGAGAAACAAAACACAACCCUGGCACAGCCACGCUCUCCCUCUUUCUCCUCUCGGCAUUUGGUGGUUGUUUUUUUUUUUUAUUAAAUUUUUUCUUUUUUUUUUCUUGGGGAUUCUUCUCUCUCUUGCCAGACUGACUUACACCUUCUUGAUAAUUUCUCUUCCCCUCGUUUUUUUUAUACUUUUCUCCCUGCUUUCAAACCCUGUGUCUGUGUGUUUCAAUACUAUCACAACCUCUGCUAAAAAUAGAUCUUUUUAUAUACCCUUCCUCCUCUCUGACCCCAUCCAACACCCCUUGUUAAGGUAACCAUCUUACACACAGAGCAAGAAACAUAAAUUCACUUGGCUGUCCUGUAUCUCUAAGGAACCUGAUGCAUGACUGGACUAGAGAAGGGGAAGACAGAAAAACUCCAAAGACCUACAUAUCAUCUUGCUGGCAGGGUCAAGUUUUCUUCAGAUUGAGGCAGAACUGUGGCUCGUGAACAUCUGAUGUGAUAGAACAUACUCAACACUCUUAGAUAUCUUGAGACCUCAGAGUGACUUCAAAAACUGACCAACGACGGCAUUUUUUAAAAUAUCACUGGUCUUCU